rnacentral:lncRNA from 1 species
CAAGGAGCCAGUGUCUGAUGAAGAAACUGAGGCUGGGAAAAAUGAAAUGAUGGACAUUUGACUAUUCCCUGACUACACGGACGUCUACAGCAUGACAGCAACAAGACCCCAGGCUUCCAGAGCCUCAGCAUGGCCUUGCUUCAGUACCUCCUAUACCUUCUCCUGUCCACGUGUAGAGACAUAAUAUUUCCUAUUUCUAUUUUAAAAGAGAGGAGGUCGGAUGAGCCUUCCCUCCUUCUCACCUACCCUGACCUGCCCCCAUUGCUAUGGCUUAACAUACUAGUGACCACAGAAAAGAGCACCCUAUGGGGAAUGGGGAAUGUAGGGGUCUUUUUCUCCUCAAAUCUUACGUUUGUGGGGAUUUUGUUCUUCCAAUUAGUUAGGCAACCCCUGAGAAGGAUCACCUGAAGCUUGGCCUCUGAAAAUUAAGAUAAAAGAUAGUUCCUUUCCAUGGGGAGAAAUGGGAUGUGGGGAGAAUCCUGCAGAUAACUGGUCCAUGACUAACCCUGGUUGAUCAAGAGCCAUUUGGGCCAAUUGGGCAGCUAUCUGGAAGUGUGAUAACCCCUAUCCCGGAACUAGUUGUGAUGGAUUUCAGAGAAGCAAAGCAGCAUCUCUUUGCCCUCAGGCAAAUGGCUUCCUCUACCUUCUCAUCCUAAGACCAUCCUACCUCCUUCCUCUCUCCCUUCUUCCUGGCUUAGAUGAUGGGUAAAGGGUGUGUAUUCUUCAAAUGAUAAACUCCUUAUGAGAUUGGCAGUAUGUUACAUACAGAAUAUACAGAAACUGUCAUUGCCUGGUCCUGGUUAUUUAAAGGAAUCAGGAAAACAAAUACAAAAACAAAAUCAAGAAUAUCUUUUUGUUGGCUGUGUUUCCACAGGCCAUAUUUUUGAACAUGAGGUAGAAGGCUGUAGAUACAUAAAAGAGAAGAAAAUGGUUAGAGUAGACAGGCAAGUUGACUGCUAGCCAUAAAAAAAUGUAAGAUUGGGAGGAUUUUUUUUUCUCUCCCAGUAAGAAAAAUAUAUAUUGUUGCUCUAGGGAGUUUGAUCUGUUUUUCCUUAGAAUUCCACAACAUUUCUCUCAAUUCCCCUUUCUCCUUCCCACCUGUCUUCCUACCUCUUCCCCACCUACCCUCAAACAAUAAGACUUAAGGCCAAGAUAUUGAACUUGAGAUAUGAAGUCUAGGACAGGAGCCAAAACCCCUACACUGGCAGAUUAGAGCAGGAUAUCAGUUAGUGCUGGUGGAGAUGCUGUGUCUUAUCUCUCUUGGCUCUGACUCCAGCACAGUUCCUGCCUGGAACUUGAAAGGUGCUCCAUAUAAACAUAUAGAAUAAAUAAAUGGCAUAUAUAAUGUAAGAACAAGCAGAAGACCUAAAGAAUACCAACUCAAAAUCUGGAUUCCAGACUUCAGGGUCAGAAUCAGGAAACCAAGAAGUACAAUGAGAAGAGAGUACUGAGCUAGACUCAGAAUACAUAGAUGGCCACAAGUCAGAAUUAAGAAUGGUGGAAAACAUGCCAUUUUAACAUGCUAGCCAGGGAGAAACACAAAAUAGGUUUCUCCUAUUAUAUGACAAUUGUACUUAUAUGACAAGUGACAACAAACUGGUUUAGCAUCAGUAAAGAAUUAAGAGUUUUCAGAGAAGUAAACUCAAGAUGAACCUAUGGCUACUCCAAAACCAUGCAAAAUUAAACUACAUUAUUACAAAUAUAACAUCUAGAAUUGUGCUGCCCAAUGUGAUCACCGCUGGCCAUACGCAGCUAUUUAAAUUUAAAAUAAUUAAAGUAAAAUUAGAAGUUCAGUUCUUCAUUCUCAUCAGCCGUAUGUCAAAUGCCCAAUAACCACAGGUGGUUAUGAUUGGACAGCACAGAUACAGAACAUUUUCCUAAUCACCGAAAGUUCUAUUAGACAGCACUGGCGUAAUGAGCAGUAACAGUGACCCUCUGCUCUGGUGUAUUCAGUCAGCCCUGCACAUCACUCUAAGUGAAGCAGGGACCAAAAAAAUCAGAAGAGGGUAACCACAAAGCUAAAAUUCAUCAUUUGUGAAAUAGUUCAAAAGACUAGAGAUAUUAAGCCUGGAGCAGAGGAAAACUCAGUAGGGGAUGUGAAGAUUAUCUUCAAAUAUUGGAGGACUAGCAUGUGGAUAAGGAAAUGAUAUUGUUACAAGUGACAUAAGGGAUAGAAUUAAACUCAUGGAUCAGACUUAGAAGGAAAAAGAUUGCUAUCUCAGCAGAAAGAAGAACUCCUUCUCCAUCAGAGCUGUCCAAAGUCAGGGUAGACUGCCUCAUAAAGGAGUGACCCGCCAUCCUGGGGAUCUCAGGCAAAGGCUGAGCAUAGGCCUGACAAACAGGUAGGACAAAACAGACACAGACAGGGUGCAGUGGUUCACGCCUGUAAUCCCAGUGCUUUGGGAGGCUGGGGCAGGAGGAUCAUUGAGCCCAGGAGUUAGAGGCUGCAGAGAGCUAUGAUUGUGCCACUGCACUCCAGCCUGGGCAACAGACCAAAACCCUGUUUCAAAAAAAUAAAGUAAAAAGAAAUAAAAAACAACUUUUGGAAAGAAGGAAAUUAUUUAUUUAUCAAAUAUGUCAGGCAGGAGGGGAGACUUCAAACGUGAAUGGUUAGAAUAAUCUUUGAAACCCUUUCAAACUCUGAGAACUUCUGACGCCUCUGGUUGAGAUUCAACCACUGGCUGAGAAAUUCUGGAGGGUGAAGUAGGCAAAGGGUCUGGACUCUUGAACAAGAUCAGGUGGAAACUCAAGAAUAUGACAGGUGAGAGAGAGCUCCAGAGCAAAAGAGGAGAAGAAAACAGUGAUCAAUUAAGUGGAAGUAAGUGGAGCAGAGGGACAGAAAAGGAGAUAUAAGAGGAGGGGGACAUCUUGAGAAAGAGAAAGACUAAAAGACUUGGAGUGUGAAGGAAGAAUGGAACAAGUGUGGGAGGUUUGUGACAAAAGGCACAAAUAGAAGCUUCGAUUUUGACUCUUCCCUGACUCAGACAGCUCUUCAUGAGACAGUUUCUUAAAUAAGAGUAGAAAAAAUAUGAUGGGCUAUGUAGCCAGAGAGCUUGAUAAAGGGAGACAAAAACAGAUGAAUAAAAUAAACACAACACAUUACAAAGCUUUUGAAAUACCAAAGUGGAAAAUAUUUGAACACCGCCACCCACAGAGACAAAAGGAUUUCAUCUCCUACUGCCCACAUACCCUCCAGACGUCCAAUAGUCUAAUAAAAAAUAAUAUAUUAGAAAUUUUUUAAAAGAUCUUUUUUUUUUUUUUUUUUUAACAGACAAGGUCUCACUAUGUUACCCAGGCUGGCUGCUCGAACUCCUGUGCUCAAGCAAUCCUCCUGCCAAGGCCUCCCAAAGUACUGGGAUUACAGGUGUGCCACUGCAGCGGCCAUAUUGGGAACUAUUUUGAAAUGAGGAUUGUAUUGGUUUCCUAUUACUGCUAUAACAAAUCCCCACAAUGUACUGGCUUAAAAUAGCACAAAUUGAUUCUCUUACAGAUUUGAAGGUCAGCAGUCUGAAGUCAGUCUUACCGGGCUAAAAUUAAGAUGUUAGCAGGGCUGGAGGCUCCAAGGGAGAAUCUGUUCCUUGUCUCUUCCAAUUUCUAUUUAUCAUAUAAUGAAAUAUAUUUAAUUAUUUUAAUAAAAAAUAGAUCCUGGCCAGCACAGUGGCUCGUGACUGUAAUCCCAGAACCUUGGGAGCCCACGGUGGGUGGUGGAUCAUUUGAGGCCAGGAAUUCCAGACCAG